rnacentral:rRNA from 1 species
UUUACUUCGGUACAUCGGUGACAGGUGGUGCAUGGUUGUCGUCAGCUCGUGUCGUGAGAUGUUGGGUUAAGUCCCGCAACGAGCGCAACCCCUAUUGUUAGUUGCCAUCAUUAAGUUGGGCACUCUAGCGAGACUGCCGGUAAUAAACCGGAGGAAGGUGGGGAUGACGUCAAAUCAUCAUGCCCCUUAUGACCUGGGCUACACACGUGCUACAAUGGUUGGUACAACGAGUCGCAAGCCGGUGACGGCAAGCUAAUCUCUUAAAGCCAAUCUCAGUUCGGAUUGUAGGCUGCAA